rnacentral:tRNA from 1 species
GCCUGGCUGGCACAAUCGGUAGCGCGUGAGACUCUUAAUCUCAAGGUUGAGGGUUCGAGCCCCUCGUUAGGCU